rnacentral:rRNA from 1 species
GACGAACGCUGGCGGCGUGCUUAACACAUGCAAGUCGAACGGAAAGGCCCUGCUUUUGUGGGGUGCUCGAGUGGCGAACGGGUGAGUAACACGUGAGUAACCUGUCCUUGACUUUGGGGUAACUUCAGGAAACUGGGGCUAAUACCGGAUAGGAGCUCCUGCUGCAUGGUGGGGGUUGGAAAGUUUCGGCUGUUGGGGAUGGAUUCGCGGCUUAUCCGCUUGUUGGUGAGGUAGUGGCUUACCAAGGCUUUGACGGGUAGCCGGCCUGAGAGGGUGACCGGCCACAUUGGGACUGAGAUACGGCCCAGACGCCAACGGGAGGCAGCAGGGGGGAAUAUUGCACAAUGGGCGGAAGCCUGAUGCAGCAACGCCGCGUGCGGGAUGACGGCCUUCGGGUUGUAAACCGCUUUCGCCUGAGACGAAGCGUGAGUGACGGUAAUGGGUAAAGAAGCACCGGCUAACUACGUG